rnacentral:rRNA from 1 species
AAAUUGAAGAGUUUGAUCAUGGCUCAGAUUGAACGCUGGCGGCAGGCCUAACACAUGCAAGUCGAACGGUAACAGGAAGCAGCUUGGCUGCUUUGCUGACGAGUGGCGGACGGGUGAGUAAUGUCUGGGAAACUGCCUGAUGGAGGGGGAUAACUACUGGAAACGGUGGCUAAUACCGCAUAACGUCGCAAGACCAAAGAGGGGGACCUUCGGGCCUCUUGCCAUCAGAUGUGCCCAGAUGGGAUUAGCUUGUUGGUGAGGUAACGGCUCACCAAGGCGACGAUCCCUAGCUGGUCUGAGAGGAUGACCAGCCACACUGGAACUGAGACACGGUCCAGACUCCUACGGGAGGCAGCAGUGGGGAAUAUUGCACAAUGGGCGCAAGCCUGAUGCAGCCAUGCCGCGUGUAUGAAGAAGGCCUUCGGGUUGUAAAGUACUUUCAGCGGGGAGGAAGGUGUUGUGGUUAAUAACCGCAGCAAUUGACGUUACCCGCAGAAGAAGCACCGGCUAACUCCGUGCCAGCAGCCGCGGUAAUACGGAGGGUGCAAGCGUUAAUCGGAAUUACUGGGCGUAAAGCGCACGCAGGCGGUCUGUCAAGUCGGAUGUGAAAUCCCCGGGCUCAACCUGGGAACUGCAUUCGAAACUGGCAGGCUUGAGUCUUGUAGAGGGGGGUAGAAUUCCAGGUGUAGCGGUGAAAUGCGUAGAGAUCUGGAGGAAUACCGGUGGCGAAGGCGGCCCCCUGGACAAAGACUGACGCUCAGGUGCGAAAGCGUGGGGAGCAAACAGGAUUAGAUACCCUGGUAGUCCACGCCGUAAACGAUGUCUACUUGGAGGUUGUGCCCUUGAGGCGUGGCUUCCGGAGCUAACGCGUUAAGUAGACCGCCUGGGGAGUACGGCCGCAAGGUUAAAACUCAAAUGAAUUGACGGGGGCCCGCACAAGCGGUGGAGCAUGUGGUUUAAUUCGAUGCAACGCGAAGAACCUUACCUGGUCUUGACAUCCACAGAACUUUCCAGAGAUGGAUUGGUGCCUUCGGGAACUGUGAGACAGGUGCUGCAUGGCUGUCGUCAGCUCGUGUUGUGAAAUGUUGGGUUAAGUCCCGCAACGAGCGCAACCCUUAUCCUUUGUUGCCAGCGGUCCGGCCGGGAACUCAAAGGAGACUGCCAGUGAUAAACUGGAGGAAGGUGGGGAUGACGUCAAGUCAUCAUGGCCCUUACGACCAGGGCUACACACGUGCUACAAUGGCGCAUACAAAGAGAAGCGACCUCGCGAGAGUAAGCGGACCUCAUAAAGUGCGUCGUAGUCCGGAUUGGAGUCUGCAACUCGACUCCAUGAAGUCGGAAUCGCUAGUAAUCGUGGAUCAGAAUGCCACGGUGAAUACGUUCCCGGGCCUUGUACACACCGCCCGUCACACCAUGGGAGUGGGUUGCAAAAGAAGUAGGUAGCUUAACCUUCGGGGGGGCGCUUACCACUUUGUGAUUCAUGACUGGGGUGAAGUCGUAACAAGGUAACCGUAGGGGAACCUGCGGUUGGAUCACCUCCUUA